CGGUACAGAGAAGCUUGCUUCUCUUGAGAGCGGCGGACGGGUGAGUAAUACCUAGGAAUCUGCCUGAUAGUGGGGGAUAACGUUCGGAAACGGACGCUAAUACCGCAUACGUCCUACGGGAGAAAGCAGGGGACCUUCGGGCCUUGCGCUAUCAGAUGAGCCUAGGUCGGAUUAGCUAGUUGGUGAGGUAAUGGCUCACCAAGGCUACGAUCCGUAACUGGUCUGAGAGGAUGAUCAGUCACACUGGAACUGAGACACGGUCCAGACUCCUACGGGAGGCAGCAGUGGGGAAUAUUGGACAAUGGGCGAAAGCCUGAUCCAGCCAUGCCGCGUGUGUGAAGAAGGUCUUCGGAUUGUAAAGCACUUUAAGUUGGGAGGAAGGGCAGUUACCUAAUACGUGAUUGUCUUGACGUUACCGACAGAAUAAGCACCGGCUAACUCUGUGCCAGCAGCCGCGGUAAUACAGAGGGUGCAAGCGUUAAUCGGAAUUACUGGGCGUAAAGCGCGCGUACGUGGUUUGUUAAGUUGAAUGUGAAAUCCCCGGGCUCAACCUGGGAACUGCAUCCAAAACUGGGGAGCUAGAGUAUGGGAGAGGGUAGUGGAAUUUCCUGUGUAGCAGUCAAAUGCGUAGAUAUACGAAGGGAACACCAGUGGCGAACGCGACUACCUGGACUGGUACUGACACUGAGGUGC
rnacentral:rRNA from 1 species